rnacentral:rRNA from 1 species
GACGAACGCUGGCGGCGUGCUUAACACAUGCAAGUCGAACGGAAAGGCCCUGCUUUUGUGUGGUGCUCGAGUGGCGAACGGGUGAGUAACACGUGAGUAACCUGCCCUUGACUUUGGGAUAACUUCAGGAAACUGGGGCUAAUACCGGAUCGGAGCUCCUGCUGCAUGGUGGGGGUUGGAUAGUUUCGGCGGUUGGGGAUGGACUCGCGGCUUAUCUGCUUGUUUGUGGGGUAGUGGCUUACCAAGGCUUGGCCGGGUAGCCGGCCUGAGAGGGUGACCGGGCACAUGGGGCCUGAGAUAGGGCCCAGACGCCAACGGGGGGCAGCAGGGGGGAACAUUGUGCAGUGGUGGGAAGUCUGUUGCGGCGGCGUCGGGGGCGGAAAGACGGCCUUCGGGGGGUAAACCGCUUACGCCUGUGACGAAGGGUGAGUGACGGUAACGGGAGAAGAAGCACCGGCUAACUACGUG